ACUGCAACUUGAUAUUGAGAUUACGUUUGACAUACGUAGCAUAGUGGUCAGAGGUUUGACGGUUUCGUUUUCGGAUGGAAUCUACUCGACAGUGAAAUAGCCAUUUUGUUUGAUGUAAUUUCUAACCUCGGCGGCAAAAACGACGAGAGACAGUUUCUGGUGGGCAGUUUUAGUGGGGCGCUA
rnacentral:ncRNA from 1 species